CGGUGCCAGCAGCCGCGGUAAUUCCAGCUCCAAUAGCGUAUAUUAAAGUUGUGCAGUUAAAAGCUCGUAGUUGAAUUUCGGGAUCAAUACGUCGGUCGUGCUUUCGGGUACGUACUGGCGUCAUUGGUUUCUCCUUUCUGACGAACCAUGAUGUCAUUAAUUUGGUGUUAUGGGGAGUUAGGACUGUUACUUGAAAAAUUAGAGUGUUAAAGCAGGCAUUAGCUUGAAUACAUUAGCAUGGAAUAAUGAAAUAGGACGUUCGAUCCUAUUUUGUUGGUUUACUAGGAUCAACGUAAUGAUUAAUAGGGAUAGUUGGGGGCAUUAGUAUUCAAUUGUCAGAGGUGAAAUUCUUGGAUUUAUUGAAGACUAACUACUGCGAAAGCAUUUGCCAAGGAUGUUUUCAUUAAUCAAGAACGAAAAGUUAGGGGGAUCGAAGACGAUCAGAUACCGUCGUAGUCUUAACCAUAAACUAUGCCGACUAGGGGAUCGGAUGAUGUUAAUUUUUUAAUGACUCAUUCGGCACCUUACG
rnacentral:rRNA from 1 species